rnacentral:rRNA from 1 species
AGUGAACGCUGGCGGUAGGCCUAACACAUGCAAGUCGAACGGCAGCACAGAGGAGCUUGCUCCUUGGGUGGCGAGUGGCGGACGGGUGAGGAAUACAUCGGAAUCUACUCUGUCGUGGGGGAUAACGUAGGGAAACUUACGCUAACACCGCAUACGACCUACGGGUGAAAGCAGGGGAUCUUCGGACCUUGCGCGAUUGAAUGAGCCGAUGUCGGAUUAGCUAGUUGGCGGGGUAAAGGCCCACCAAGGCGACGAUCCGUAGCUGGUCUGAGAGGAUGAUCAGCCACACUGGAACUGAGACGCGGUCCAGACUCCUACGGGAGGCAGCAGUGGGGAAUAUUGGACAAUGGGCGCAAGCCUGAUCCAGCCAUACCGCGUGGGUGAAGAAGGCCUUCGGGUUGUAAAGCCCUUUUGUUGGGAAAGAAAUCCAUCUGGUUAAUACCCGGGUGGGAUGACGGUACCCAAAGAAUAAGCACCGGCUAACUUCGUGCCAGCCGCCGCAGUAA